rnacentral:rRNA from 1 species
UCGGGAAUUUUGGGCAAUGGGCGAAAGCCUGACCCAGCAACGCCGCGUGAGGGAUGAAGGCCCUCGGGUCGUAAACCUCUGUCGGGAGGGAAGAAUGGGCCGCAGUCGAAUAGGCUGCGGUCUUGACGGUACCUCCAAAGGAAGUGCCGGCUAACUCCGUGCCAGCAGCCGCGGUAAUACGGAGGGCACAAGCGUUGUUCGGAAUCAUUGGGCGUAAAGCGGGUGUAGGCGGCUUGGCAAGUCGAGUGUGAAAUCCCAGGGCCCAACCCUGGAACUGCAUUCGAAACUGUCUCGCUAGAGUCCCGGAGAGGAUGGCGGAAUUCCCGGUGUAGGGGUGAAAUCCGUAGAUAUCGGGAGGAACACCAGUGGCGAAGGCGGCCAUCUGGACGGUGACUGACGCUCAGACCCGAAAGCGUGGGGAGCAAACAGG